UACGUAGGUGACAAGCGUUGUCCGGAUUUACUGGGCGUAAAGAGCGCGCAGGCGGUCGAUCAAGUCGAGUGUGAAAGCCCCCGGCUCAACUGGGGAGGGUCAUUCGAUACUGAUCGACUCGAAGGCAGGAGAGGGUAGUGGAAUUCCCGGUGUAGUGGUGAAAUGCGUAGAUAUCGGGAGGAACACCAGUGGCGAAGGCGGCUCACUGGUCCGGUACUGACGCUGAGGUGCGAAAGCGUGGGGAGCAAACAGGG
rnacentral:rRNA from 1 species